rnacentral:sRNA from 2 species
GCUUCCAAGUAAAGGCUUUCCCUAUCUUCUGGAUCCAGGACCAUGUCUUGAUAGAGCCCGUAGUGUUUUCUUGAUCACCCUCGACAAAUACCAGCCCCACCAUAUCGUGAAGUUCGCCCUUGAACUGUUUCAAAUGAAGAAAUUCCCGCGCAAUAAUACCGCCGUAUGCAUGACAAACAAUGAUGUACGGUGGUUUGAUAUCGGCCGCGCCCAGCAGGACGUCAAGUUCGAGAGAAAUGUUCUCAGCGGUUGGAGCAGUGGGGUUUGGCAUUUCUUCUGAGUCACCGAGUCCAGAGCGAUCAUAGAGCAUAGUUCGAACUUUGCGCUGAAGGAGUCUGCGAACAGGGGUCCAUUGCCUGGAGCUGGAGGCGACAUCUGGGAUGAUGAUAACAAUGGGGUCGCCAGCGGAACGAUUGGGGCCGUAGAUUCCAAGAAAGAGGCAAUGGUUUGCGAUGGAAACGAGACCUUCAUGCUCCCCGUAUUGCCAGUUUGUGUUCGUGGGUUCCAUUAGGAUCGAAGGAAUACAGAUUCAAAAUAACUCCGUCUUUCAAAGUUCAGUUCCUCUGUUAUAUGAAUAGACCCAAA